UUUGUAAUUUCAUAUAAAAAGUUAUACAGCCUCUUUGUUUACAAGCAAAACAAAAUUUCAAGUAAUUUACAUCCUACCGAAACCUCCCAUCAUAGUCCUGUAAGUUGAUACACAUACCAACCCACUCCAGCUUACUGGGUUUCCUCUGGUACAUAUUCCGCUGCCCUAACACCCACCGAAAUGUGAGGUGUCCACACAAAACAUCAGUUUACACAUGGAUCACUUCUAAAUUGCACAACAUAAGAAAACCACACUAACAGAUUACGUUUAUUCGUUACCAGGAACACUUUAUUCAAGUAAUAUCAAACACGAAGUAUUGACCAUAGUAUAGAGAGGUGAAAUGCGCUACCAAAGAUUGCUAUGCUGCUGCUUCUGUGGGCUUCUCAGCAACAGUGGGGCUUGCACUUUCGGCUUCUUUUAUCUGCCUCAUGAUGUCUGACUUUGUCUCAAGUAGGCCUUCUAUUUUGCCAUUGAUCUUCUCUAGCUUCUGUUUCAGCUUUACAACAUCACUGCCUUUGUCCUUUUUAUCGACUUUCCUUUUCUUCUCGCCCUUCUCCCCCUUCUCCCCCUUCACCUUUUUCUCUUUAUCUUUCUUCUCUUUACCCUCCUUUCCUUC
rnacentral:lncRNA from 1 species